GACGAACGCUGGCGGCGUGCCUAAUACAUGCAAGUUGAGCGCUGCAGGCUGGUAUUUGUGCCCACUGGAUGAGCAGCGAACGGGUGCGUCACGCGUGUGGAAUAUGCCUUUCAGCGGGGGACACUAAUUGGAAACGAAUGCUAAUACCGAAUAAAAACUUUCAACACAAGUGUUAAGCUUGAAAGAUGCAAUUGCAUAAUUCAAAGAUGAACCCGCGUUGUAUUAGCUAGUUGGUGAGGUAAAGGGUCACCAAGGCGUUGAUACAUAGCCGACCUGAGAGGGUGAUCGGCAACAUUGGGAUGGAGACACGGCCCAAACUCCUGCGGCAGGCAGCAGUACGGGAUCUUCAGGGAUGGACGAAGGGGUGACCAAGCAACGCCGCGUGAGUGAAUAAGGUUUUCGGGUCGUAAAACUCUGUUAGUAGAGAGGAUCGUUGGUGUGAGUGGAAAGCGCAGCAAGUGACGGUAACGGCCCAAUAAGCGACGGCUAACUACGUG
rnacentral:rRNA from 1 species